AAAAAACCAAACCAAAUAUAAAAAUAAAAAAUAAAUCAGGCCCAAACUUACAAACCCAAAUGACCCAAAAAAUAAAAAACCCUUAUGGCCCAGUGGCCCACAACCUAAACUGUUUAAAAAAAAUAGAAACCCUAGUGCCCCUUGCGCCGCUCCUCGUGCCACGUCAGCACACUUACGCCUUGAGGUUUGCCAUCGUCAAUGCCUCUACCACCUUUGAC
rnacentral:lncRNA from 1 species